GAGGCUACAUCUAGAGAUCCUUGAGAAGUAUGAGAGAGUUCUCUAUUUAGUUCAAAAAUUUUGGUUCUGUUAGCAGUACCAUAUCUAGCUACGAGUAGUGCCCAUAUACUCUGUGCAGUAUCAGAAUACUGCACACUCUCAGCUAUCUGAGGGGAUAGGAAAGCAGUUAACCAAGAGAUUACCAUAUUGUUACAUCUGUCCCAUAACUUUUGUUC
rnacentral:lncRNA from 1 species